GAGAAACGGCUACCACAUCCACGGAAGGCAGCAGGCGCGCAAAUUACCCAAUGCCGGUUCGGCGAGGUAGUGACGAAAAAUAACAAUAUGGACCCUAGUGGUUUCAUAAUUGGAAUGAGAACAUUUUAAAAUACUUAUCGAGUAUCAAUUGGAGGGCAAGUCUGGUGCCAGCAGCCGCGGUAAUUCCAGCUCCAAAAGCGUAUAUUAAAGUUGUUGCAGUUAAAAAGCUCGUAGUUGAAAUUGAGGAUUUAAUAAUGUCUGAAGUCUUUGAUGGAUGACGUUUAUUGUCCUUUGUGGUCGUGUAUAUUGUUACGGUACUUUAUUGUAUCGUUUCGAUAACCGACAAGUUUACUUUGAAAAAAUUAGAGUGCUUAAAGCAGGCUUGUGCUUGCAUAUUGUUGCAUGGAAUAAUGAAAUAGGACUUCGGUUUUAUUUUGUUGGUUUUCUNAACUGAAGUAAUGAUUAAAAGAGACUGCCGGGGGCAUAUGUAUGCUGGUGCUAGAGGUGAAAUUCGAAGACCAUCAGCAGACAAACUACU
rnacentral:rRNA from 1 species